AACGAACGCUGGCGGCAGGCUUAACACAUGCAAGUCGAGCGCGUAGCAAUACGAGCGGCAGACGGGUGAGUAACGCGUGGGAAUCUACCCCUUACUACGGAAUAACGCAGGGAAACUUGUGCUAAUACCGUAUGUGGCCGAGAGGCGAAAGAUUUAUCGGUAAGGGAUGAGCCCGCGUUGGAUUAGCUAGUUGGUGGGGUAAAGGCCUACCAAGG
rnacentral:rRNA from 1 species